rnacentral:rRNA from 1 species
AUUGAACGCUGGCGGCAGGCCUAACACAUGCAAGUCGAACGGUAACAGGGAUCAGCUUGCUGAUUCGCUGACGAGUGGCGGACGGGUGAGUAAUGUCUGGGAAACUGCCUGAUGGAGGGGGAUAACUACUGGAAACGGUAGCUAAUACCGCAUAACGUCGCAAGACCAAAGAGGGGGACCUUCGGGCCUCUUGCCAUCGGAUGUGCCCAGAUGGGAUUAGCUAGUAGGUGUGGUAACGGCUCACCUAGGCGACGAUCCCUAGCUGGUCUGAGAGGAUGACCAGCCACACUGGAACUGAGACACGGUCCAGACUCCUACGGGAGGCAGCAGUGGGGAAUAUUGCACAAUGGGCGCAAGCCUGGUGCAGCCAUGCCGCGUGUAUGAAGAAGGCCUUCGGGUUGUAAAGUACUUUCAGCGGGGAGGAAGGGAGUAAAGUUAAUACCUUUGCUCAUUGACGUUACCCGCAGAAGAAGCACCGGCUAACUCCGUG